UCCAGGAGGGUUCUAGGCAGAGGAGGGCCAUGAUCUGAUUUAUGUUUGGGGAGAAUGGGAUAAUUCAGGAAGCUGAAAGCCCAGGAACGGGCUCCGGUGAGACUUCAGGACAGCAUUCUUUGUUUUUCCAUCUACAAGGCUUUUUGGAUGUCUGCUGUGUGCCAGGCUCGAGGCAGGGGGUUGGUGGGGUGGAGGUUAGCAUGAGCGAAACAGAGAGGACUCUGCCUUCGGGGGGCGCACGGGCCCGGUGAGGGGAGACAGACAUUAAUUCGACCAUCGUACCAACAUUGACGACGCUGACCAGUGCUGGAAGGAGGGGCGAGCGUCCUGGAGCAUCAGGGGAAGACGUUCUCGAAGGAGGGGUUUUACCAGAGAUCGCAGGACGUGGUGAGCUAAUCAACCAUCCUACUGGGUAUGAAGUGACUUCUCAUGGUGGCUCUGAUUUACAUUCCCCUAGUCAUUAUGUGGAACAUCUUUUCACGUGCUUAUCGGUCAUUUUCUUAACAAAAACGGAAUCUCCAAGACGCACUGCCACAGCGAACAUUGAGGAGAGAUUGUCUUUUGUUCUGUCUCAGGAUCUUACUGAGAGUGUCCACUGUCCCAGACACGUCUUCCCCAGACGCAAGGCUGCUCGUGGUACUUGAGUGUCUGGUGUUGCCUCACGGUACCAGCCUGUGUUUGGAAAUGUCACAUUCGUGAUUGUUUUUCCAAUCACCCAGUGAAUCUGAGUGAGACUCUCUCUCUUCUUUCGAUGACUACCUUUCAACUCAAGUUAUGGUUUUAUAAAUAAUAUAUAUGGCAAGUCAGUGCUGGGGAAAGGA